rnacentral:tRNA from 4 species
GGAGAAAUACCCAAGAGGCCGAAGGGGCGCCCCUGCUAAGGGUGUAGUACGGGAUACCGUAGCGAGGGUUCAAAUCCCUCUUUCUCCGCCA